CGUCCAGACUCCUACGGGAGGCAGCAGUGGGGAAUAUUGCACAAUGGGGGAAACCCUGAUGCAGCGACGCCGCGUGGGCGACGAAGCGCUCCGGCGCGUAAAGCCCUGUCAGCAGGGAAGAACAAAGACAGUACCUGACCAAGAAGCCCCGGCUAACUACGUGCCAGCAGCCGCGGUAAUACGUAGGGGGCGAGCGUUAUCCGGAUUUACUGGGUGUAAAGGGAGCGUAGACGGCGGCGCAAGUCUGAAGUGAAAGCCCGUGGCUCAACCGCGGAACCGCUUUGGAAACUGCGAGGCUGGAGUGCUGGAGAGGUAAGCGGAAUUCCUGGUGUAGCGGUGAAAUGCGUAGAUAUCAGGAGGAACACCGGUGGCGAAGGCGGCUUACUGGACAGUGACUGACGUUGAGGCUCGAAAGCGUGGGGAGCGAACAGGAUUAGAUACCCCUGUAC
rnacentral:rRNA from 1 species